GCUGUCACAGACUGUUGCUUCCUUGGGCUCUUGGCUGAGUGUACGAGUUGACCCUCAUCUGGUGUUUGUGCGAUUACCCAGUGCCGUGGGUGCUGCUAGUGUCCUGUCUUUGCGAGCCCUCAUCGGCUGCGAUUUGUGUUGGCGUGCUUCAACGAGGACUUCCGGGUUUAGAGUGAUAACUACAAGUUUGCCGAGUGCGUUUGUUGUGCCGAGAACGUAAGUUUAUUGGCUUCCUUUCUCCCUCACGUUUGUACAUCUUCAUGGAACGUUUAUGUAUGUAGUUCUGUUGAUUUGCAAUGUUUCUUUAUUAUAGUUUGGUUUGGGAAUGUUCAAGUAAAAACCAGACGGAGUAAAGUGACUGCUACAGUAUUAUAAAUAACCAAGCUUUUGGCUUGAUGCUGUGGUCUGUUCAUACAGGAGGAGCGACAUAUGCUGUCCUGGCCACUGUUUUUCCUGUGCUCUUGUUUUUAGGAUUCAGCUCCGUGUGUGUGUGUGUGUACGUGUACGUGGGGAAGAACCGUCUAUUGAGUUGCCUAUGAGCCUCCCCUGGUGUGUUGAUGUAUGUUGUAUGUUAUGUAAUGUGUGUAUUUUAGGCCAUUGGGUUAGUGCAAUAUCCUGGGUAGGGGGGGAUAACAAUUUUGUUGUGUGGCCACUGGUUUGUCUAGUGUGAAUUAUUUUCUUUUUGGUUAUAUUUGUGCAUGUGAUUUUGUGACGUGCCUUAUCAAUUUUGAGUUUGUUGUAUUUUGUUUUUGAGUUAUUUGAACACUUUGAUUUUGGAUUUUGUUGUCCCUGACUCUGUUGCCCAGAGACCUAAUGUCCUUUGAAUAGUGUUUCAUG